rnacentral:rRNA from 1 species
UCGAGAAUUUUUCACAAUGGGGGCAACCCUGAUGGAGCGACGCCGCGUGGAGGAUGAAGGCCUUCGGGUCGUAAACUCCUGUCACUACAGAACAAGUGUACAGGUGCUAAUCAAUCUGUACUUGAUGGUAUGUGGAGAGGAAGAGACGGCUAACUCUGUGCCAGCAGCCGCGGUGAUACAGAGGUCUCAAGCGUUGUUCGGAUUUACUGGGCGUAAAGGGUGCGUAGGGUGUUGGGAAAGUCGGGUGUGAAAGCUCACCGCUUAACGGUGAAACUGCAUUCGAUACUACCUGACUAGAGGAUCGGAGAGGAAAUCGGAAUUCUUGGUGUAGCGGUGAAAUGCGUAGAUAUCAAGAGGAACGCCGAUGGCGAAAGCAGAUUUCUGGAAGACUCCUGACCCUGAGGCACGAAGGCUAGGGUAGCAAACA